CUCAACUGUUGAACUUGAUUUUCAGUCGGCACAUGUCCCCGAUUGCACACCUGCUCCGGGUCCACUUUACCUGCGAGCAAGUCCCACCUUUUCCCCCCUGACGUCACUCUAAGCAGCGGAUUCCGACACCUUGAUGUGUCCAGACAUUUCCCACUGGGAAGAGGCUUUGGGGAAGAAAUCUUGGAAAGACUGUGGGCCUCUGCGAAUUCCCCAGAAGUGCUGGACCAAGUGUUUGGGGAGAGGAACAUCUCUGCUACCCCCAUGACUCCGACCCUACAUCUAUCAUGAAACUGGAGCACCCGGAGAAAAUCCACACAAGCAUGAGGAGAACAUGCAAACUCCACACAGGUGAGGCCAGAUUUGAACCCAGGUCCUUAGAACUGUGACACAGACAUGCUAACCAGUCGUCUAC